rnacentral:rRNA from 1 species
GACGAGCCACCCAAACGUUAUUCGGAAUCACUGGGCUUAAAGCGUGCGUAGGCGGCCUGCAAAGUUGGGUGUGAAAUCCCUCGGCUCAACCGAGGAAUUGCGCCCAAAACUAGUGGGCUCGAGGGAGAUAGAGGUAAGCGGAACUGAUGGUGGAGCGGUGAAAUGUGUUGAUAUCAUCAGGAACACCGGUGGCGAAAGCGGCUUACUGGGUCUUUUCUGACGCUGAGGCACGAAAGCUAGGGUAGCGAACGGG